CAGCAGUCGCCGCGGGAACACGGAGGGUGCAAGCGUUAAUCGGAAUUACUGGGCGUAAAGCGUGCGUAGGCGGUUCGUUAAGUCUGUUGUGAAAGCCCCGGGCUCAACCUGGGAAUGGCAAUGGAUACUGGCGAGCUAGAGUGUGUCAGAGGAUGGUGGAAUUCCCGGUGUAGCGGUGAAAUGCGUAGAGAUCGGGAGGAACAUCAGUGGCGAAAGCGGCUCACUGGACCAUUACUGACGCUGAGGCGCGAAAGCUAGGGGAGCAAACAGGAUUAGAUACCCGCGUAGUCCCUGUCUCUUAUAC
rnacentral:rRNA from 1 species